rnacentral:rRNA from 1 species
CAGUAGCCGCGGUAACACGGAGGGUGCAAGCGUUAAUCGGAAUUACUGGGCGUAAAGCGCACGCAGGCGGUUUGUUAAGUCAGAUGUGAAAUCCCCGAGCUUAACUUGGGAACUGCAUUUGAAACUGGCAAGCUAGAGUCUUGUAGAGGGGGGUAGAAUUCCAGGUGUAGCGGUGAAAUGCGUAGAGAUCUGGAGGAAUACCGGUGGCGAAGGCGGCCCCCUGGACAAAGACUAACGCUCAGGUGCGAAAGCGUGGGGAGCAAACAGGAUUAGAUACCCGCGUAGUCCCUGUCUCUUAUAC